UGCGUAGGCGGGUCUUUAAGUCAGGGGUGAAAUCCUGGAGCUCAACUCCAGAACUGCCUUUGAUACUGAGGAUCUUGAGUUCGGGAGAGGUGAGUGGAACUGCGAGUGUAGAGGUGAAAUUCGUAGAUAUUCGCAAGAACACCAGUGGCGAAGGCGGCUCACUGGCCCGAUACUGACGCUGAGGCACGAAAGCGUGGGGAGCAAACA
rnacentral:rRNA from 1 species